CACGUGCUCCGGGGUCGGUGAGAAUUCCGAACCGGCGGUGACAGUCCGCGAACCGCAACCCCGUCGAGGGGCUGCGGUUGACCUGGUGGAACUCCAGGACCGACGGUGAAAGUCCGGAGGAGAGGCAGCACGAG
rfam:Rathayibacter sp. VKM Ac-2596 ACH61_contig000041, whole genome shotgun sequence.